rnacentral:rRNA from 1 species
GAGUACCCGACCAGAACUUUGAAGUGUUACAAACUCUCAUGGUGUGACGGGCGGUGUGUACAAGGCCCGGGAACGUAUUCACCGCGGCAUGCUGAUCCGCGAUUACUAGCGAUUCCGACUUCAUGUAGGCGAGUUGCAGCCUACAAUCCGAACUGAGAAUGGCUUUAAGAGAUUAGCUUACUCUCGCGAGUUCGCAACUCGUUGUACCAUCCAUUGUAGCACGUGUGUAGCCCAGGUCAUAAGGGGCAUGAUGAUUUGACGUCAUCCCCACCUUCCUCCGGUUUGUCACCGGCAGUCUCACCAGAGUGCCCAACUUAAUGCUGGCAACUGAUAAUAAGGGUUGCGCUCGUUGCGGGACUUAACCCAACAUCUCACGACACGAGCUGACGACAACCAUGCACCACCUGUAUCCAUGUCCCCGAAGGGAACGUCUAAUCUCUUAGAUUUGCAUAGUAUGUCAAGACCUGGUAAGGUUCUUC